UACGAAGGGGGCUAGCGUUGUUCGGAAUCACUGGGCGUAAAGCGCACGUAGGCGGAUUGUUAAGUCGGGGGUGAAAUCCUGAGGCUCAACCUCAGAACUGCCUCCGAUACUGGCAAUCUCGAGUUCGGAAGAGGUUGGUGGAACAGCUAGUGUAGAGGUGAAAUUCGUAGAUAUUAGCUAGAACACCAGUGGCGAAGGCGGCCAACUGGUCCGACACUGACGCUGAGGUGCGAAAGCGUGGGGAGGCAAACAAGG
rnacentral:rRNA from 1 species